rnacentral:rRNA from 1 species
CCCUUAGAUGUUCUGGGCCGCACGCGCGCUACACUGAUGCAUUCAACGAGUUUCUUCCUGGUCCGAGAGGAAUGGGUAACCUUUUGAAAGUGCAUCGUGAUAGGGAUAGACUAUUGCAAUUAUUGGUCUUCAACGAGGAAUUCCUAGUAGACGUAGUUCAUCAGACUGCAUCGAUUACGUCCCUGCCCUUUGUACACACCGCCCGUCGCUCCUACCGAUUGAAUGCUCAGGUGAGCCAUUCGGACUUUCAUCAUGCUGGUUUCCAGUUUUGAUGAAGGAAAGUCUUGCGAACCUUAUCAUUUAGAGGAAGGAGAAGUCGUAACC